UGGGAUGGUCUGUAUGUCAAGUGUGUUGCUGAUUGGUCAGUAAAUAAAUCACUGAUUGGCCAUUGGCUAGGCAGGAAAUAUAGGCGGGACAAGGAGAAGAAUUCUGGGAAGUGGAAGGCUGAGAGGGAGACGGCCUGGAGCCGCCGCCAGGAGAAGGAAGAUGUAAGAAAGCCAGAGACUAUGGAUUUGUUCCAGAUUAAGAUACAUCAGGUUUGACCAGCCAAGACCCCCUGAAAGGUCUCCGAUGACACCAUGGCCCUGAUGAUCCAACAUCCAGAAUGGUUUCAAGGCAACUGGCUCAGACGACAUACCCUCAUGGACUAUUCCAUAAUUCUAAAAUUUUCUUUGUAUCCCCAUAAGAUACAGCGCCCCCCUCCAGCAGGAAGUAGUAAGAGAAACUACGCCCAAAUUCCCAAAUAUACCAAGCUGACUUUGGAGAUAUGUAAAGGUUAAAACCUUCCUUUUUAAGAAAAGAAAAGGGGAAGUGCUGUGGGAUGGUCUGUAUGUCAAGUGUGUUGCUGAUUGGUCAGUAAAUAAAUCACUGAUUGGCCAUUGGCUAGGCAGGAAAUAUAGGCGGGACAAGGAGAAGAAUUCUGGGAAGUGGAAGGCUGAGAGGGAGACGGCCUGGAGCCGCCGCCAGGAGAAGGAAGAUGUAAGGUACCAGUAAGCCAUGAGCCAUGUGGCAAAGUAAAGAUUAAUAGAAAUGGGCUAAAUAUAAGAGUAAGAGCUAGACAGUGACAGGCCUGAGCUAAUGGCCAAGCAGUUUAAAUAAUGUAA